rnacentral:rRNA from 1 species
AUGGCUUCAAGAAACACUGCUUUAUUCCUCGUCGGGCUGCUCCUCUCGUGCGUCGCCAUGAGCAGCGGGGCAAGAAUCCUGGAGGAGACGGCUCCUUCCAAAGGCGAGGAGCACCUGCCGGAGCUGCCAGCGCUGCCCAAAGUCGAGCUGCCGCCAUUCCCGGAGGUGCAUCUGCCACCUAAACCUGAGCUGCCCAAGGUAGAGCUGCCGUCGUUCCCUGAGGUGCACCUGCCACCCAAGCCCGAGCUGCCAACAUUCCCGGAGGUGCACCUUCCAGCCAAGCCGGAGCUGCCCAAGGUUGAACUGCCACCGAAGCCUGAGAUGCCCGCCAUCCCGGAGUUCCACUUCCCGAAGCCGGAGGCUAAGCCAUGA